rnacentral:rRNA from 1 species
AUACGGAGGGUGCAAGCGUUAAUCGGAAUCACUGGGCGUAAAGGACGCGUAGGCGGGUUGGCAAGUCAGAUGUGAAAUCCUACAGCUUAACUGUAGAACUGCAUUUGAAACUGCUAACCUAGAGUAUGGGAGGGGGAGAUGGAAUUAGUGGUGUAGGGGUAAAAUCCGUAGAUAUCACUAGGAAUACCGAAAGCGAAGGCGAUCUCCUGGAACAUAACUGACGCUAAGGCGUGAAAGCGUGGGGAGCAAACAGGAUUAGAAACCCUUGUAGUCC